rnacentral:rRNA from 1 species
GGAACAUGUCCAUGUCGGGGGGGAUAGCCCGGCGAAAGCCGGAUUAAUACCGCAUAAGCCCGAGAGGGGAAAGCCGGGGACCGCAAGGCCUGGCGCGAUUGGGUUGGCCGAUGUCCGAUUAGCUAGUUGGUGGGGUAAAGGCCUACCAAGGCGAUGAUCGGUAGCUGGUCUGAGAGGAUGAUCAGCCACACUGGGACUGAGACACGGCUCAGACUCCUACGGGAGGCAGCAGUGGGGAAUUUUGGACAAUGGGGGAAACCCUGAUCCAGCCAUUCCGCGUGAGUGAAGAAGGCCUUCGGGUUGUAAAGCUCUUUUGUCCGGAACGAAACGGUUGUGGUGAAUAGCCACGACUACUGACGGUACCGGAAGAAUAAGCACCGGCUAACUACGUGCCANCAGCCGCGGUAAUACGUAGGGUGCGAGCGUUAAUCGGAAUUACUGGGCGUAAAGCGUGCGCANGCGGUUUUGUAAGCCAGAUGUGAAAGCCCCGGCUCAACCUGGGAACGGCAUUUGGGACUGCAAGGCUUGAGUGCCGCA